rnacentral:rRNA from 1 species
UACGGGGGGGGGCAAGCGUUGUUCGGAAUUACUGGGCGUAAAGGGCUCGUAGGUGGCCAACUAAGUCAGACGUGAAAUCCCUCGGCUUAACCGGGGAACUGCGUCUGAUACUGGAUGGCUUGAGUUUGGGAGAGGGACGCGGAAUUCCAGGUGUAGCGGUGAAAUGCGUAGAUAUCGGGAGGAACACCGGUGGCGAAGGCGGCCUUCUGGACAGUGACUGACGCUGAGACGCGAAAGCGUGGGGAGCAAACAGG